rnacentral:rRNA from 1 species
GAUGAACGCUGGCGGCGUGCCUAAUACAUGCAAGUCGAGCGAACAGACGAGGAGCUUGCUCCUCUGACGUUAGCGGCGGACGGGUGAGUAACACGUGGAUAACCUACCUAUAAGACUGGGAUAACUUCGGGAAACCGGAGCUAAUACCGGAUAAUAUAUUGAACCGCAUGGUUCAAUAGUGAAAGACGGUUUUGCUGUCACUUAUAGAUGGAUCCGCGCCGCAUUAGCUAGUUGGUAAGGUAACGGCUUACCAAGGCAACGAUGCGUAGCCGACCUGAGAGGGUGACCGGAUCUAGUGUAAGAGACAGGCGGACGAGCUUCCUAAGGGCGGCAGGGAUAGGGACUCAGGAGCCAAGGGCGAAAGAGGGAGGGGGGAACGUGGCGAGGGAGCUGAAGGGCUGCCGAUGGUAAGACGCUGCUAUUGGGGCAGAACAGAUGUGUCAGGAACCACGCCCGUAUUGACGGUCCCAGCUCAGAAGGCAACGGCUCAGUACGUG